rnacentral:rRNA from 1 species
AUUGAACGCUGGCGGCAGGCCUAACACAUGCAAGUCGAGCGAGCGGCGGACGGGUGUGUAAUGUCUGGGAAACUGCCUGCUGGAGGGGGAUAAAUACUGGAAACGGUAGCUAAUAUCGCAAACCAUCAUAUGUGCCCAGAUGGGAUGCGCUAUUAGGUGGGGUAACGGCUCACCUAGGCGACGAUCCCCAGCUGGUCUGAGGGGAUGACCAGCCACACGGGAACUGAGAUACGGUCCAGACUCCUACGGGAGGCAGCAGUGGGGAAUAUUGCACAAUGGGCGCUAGCCUGAUGCAGCCAUGCCGCGUGUGUGAAGAAGGCCUUCGGGUUGUAAAGCACUUUCAGCGGGGAGGCGUUACCCGCAGAAGAAGCACCGGCUAACUCCGUGCCAGCAGCCGCGGUAAUAC